GGAUGUGAAAAUGCUCCAAUUUCUCCGAGUUUACCAAAGUUUCAAGGUUUCUUCACGAUCAGUGUGUUCAAGAAAAGCCCACGCUGGGGCAAGCCAGUGACCCUGUCCGGUUGCAACUACGGUUUCUCAACUUCUACCUGGAACAAAAAUGGCACACACCUGAGGGAAAAGAACUUUCAAAGGAGGAAGUACUUGCUUGUCAGAAAGUAAUUGGACGUUGCCUAUCACAGAGGCUGAUGGACAUUGCCCGUGACCACCUCGCUCGGAAUGCCUGGCUACAGAUAUGAUGGCGAAUAAUAGGAAACACAAGUGUCGCUCUUGUAGCGUCCCAACUCCUGGCUGCUGAAUCUUCCAUGGACUAUCAAGCUGGAGACGAGCUACAGCACAACAGGGGCCUACCGCACCCGCCUUCUGCUGCUCUACCACCACCAGGAUCGUGGCAUGGAACAGCAUGACACUUCUAUGACGUUGUCAGGCAAAGAUAGAGGGAACUAAAAUAAAGUGACGAUGAGCAUA